rnacentral:ncRNA from 2 species
GAAUAAAAAACGGGGAGUUAGUUAAACUAUCUGAGAGGAAAUUUGUAAUUUCGACCCAUAACCUGAUUUGGAUAAUGCCAACGUAGGGAAAUAUAUUAUAAAGAAA